ACGGGAGGCAGCAGUGGGGAAUAUUGCACAAUGGGGGAAACCCUGAUGCAGCGACGCCGCGUGAGUGAAGAAGUAUUUCGGUAUGUAAAGCUCUAUCAGCAAGGAAGAAAAUGACGGUACUUGACCAAGAAGCCCCGGCUAACUACGUGCCAGCAGCCGCGGUAAUACGUAGGGGGCAAGCGUUAUCCGGAUUUACUGGGUGUAAAGGGAGCGUAGACGGCAUAGCAAGUCUGAAGUGAAAUGCAUGGGCUCAACCCAUGAACUGCUUUGGAAACUGCUAAGCUAGAGUGCAGGAGGGGUAAGUGGAAUUCCUAGUGUAGCGGUGAAAUGCGUAGAUAUUAGGAGGAACACCAGUGGCGAAGGCGGCUUACUGGACUGUAACUGACGUUGAGGCUCGAAAGCGUGGGGAGCAAACAGGAUUAGAUACCCUGGUA
rnacentral:rRNA from 1 species